rnacentral:tRNA from 1 species
GGCGUGGUAGCUCAGUUGGUUAGAGCGCAGGAUUCAUAACCCUGAGGUCGGGAGUUCAACUCUCCCUCACGCCA